rfam:Schistosoma rodhaini strain Burundi genome assembly, scaffold: SROB_scaffold0009893
UCACUAGUGAGGAGUCCAACAAUAGGACGAAACGGCCGUCCAGUGC